rnacentral:miRNA from 1 species
UUACUUUGGCAGCGUUGUGC